rnacentral:rRNA from 1 species
GAUGUACGCUGGCGGCGUGCCUAAUACAUGCAAGUCGAGCGAAUGGAUUAAGAGCUUGCUCUUAUGAAGUUAGCGGCGGACGGGUGAGUAACACGUGGGUAACCUGCCCAUAAGACUGGGAUAACUCCGGGAAACCGGGGCUCAUACCGGAUAACAUUUUGAACCGCCUGGUUCGAAAUUGAAAGGCGGAUUCGGCUGUCACUUAUGAAUGGACCAGCGUCGCAUUAGCUAGUUGGUGAGGUAACGGCUCACCAAGGCAACGAUGCGUAGCCGACCUGAGAGGGUGAUCGGCCACACUGGGACUGAGACACGGCCCAGACUCCUACGGGAGGCAGCAGUAGGGAAUCUUCCGCAAUGGACGAAAGUCUGACGGAGCAACGCCGCGUGAGUGAUGAAGGCUUUCGGGUCGUAAAACUCUGUUGUUAGGGAAGAACAAGUGCUAGUUGAAUAAGCUGGCACCUUGACGGUACCUAACCAGAAAGCCACGGCUAACUACGUGCCAGCCGCCGCAGUAA